ACCGGCGGCUCGAGUGGUGGCCACUAUUACUGGGCUUAAAGCGUUCGUAGCUGGCUUGUUAAGUCUCUGGGGAAAUCUUCCGGCUCAACCGGAAGGCGUCUCAGGGAUACUGGCAGGCUAGGGACCGGAAGAGGUGAGAGGUACUCCAGGGGGUGGAGUGAAAACCCUGAAUCCCUGGGGGACCACCCGUGGGGGAGGCGGCUCCCCAGGACGGCUCCCGCAGUUGGGAAACGAAACCUGGGGAGCAAACCG
rnacentral:rRNA from 1 species